CCUACGGGUAGCAGCAGUGGGGGAUAUUGCACAAUGGGGGGAACCCUGGUGCCGCGCCGCCGCGUGGGUGAAGAAGCGCCUCGGCGCGUAUAGCCCUGUCAGCAGGGAAGAAAAUGACGGUACCUGAAGAAGAAGCCCCGGCUAAGUACGUGCCAGCAGCCGCGGUAAUCCGUAGGGGGCAAGCGUUAUCCGGAUUUACUGGGUGUAAAGGGGGCGCAGACGGCGAUGCAAGCCAGGGGUGAAAGCCCGGGGCCCAACCCCGGGACUGCGCUUGGAACUGCGUGGCUGGGGUGAAGGAGGGGCAGGCGGAAUCCCGGGUGUAGCGGUGAAAUGCGUAGAUAUCAGGAGGAACACCGGUGGCGAGGCGGUCUGCUGGACUGCAACUGACGUUGAGGCCCGAAAGCGUGGGGAGCAAACAGGAUUAGAUACCCCAGUAGUC
rnacentral:rRNA from 1 species